ACAAGGUCUCCGUUGGUGAACCAGCGGAGGGAUCAUUACAGAGUUAUCUAACUCCCAAACCCAUGUGAACUUACCUUUGUUGCCUCGGCAGAAGCUACCCGGUACCUACCCUGUAACACUUACCCUGUAACGCGGUUCAGGUUACCCUGUAGCAUCCUGCCGGUGGACCAUUAAACUCUUGUUAUUUUAUUGUAAUCUGAGCGUCUUAUUUUAAUAAGUCAAAACUUUCAACAACGGAUCUCUUGGUUCUGGCAUCGAUGAAGAACGCAGCGAAAUGCGAUAAGUAAUGUGAAUUGCAGAAUUCAGUGAAUCAUCGAAUCUUUGAACGCACAUUGCGCCCAUUAGUAUUCUAGUGGGCAUGCCUGUUCGAGCGUCAUUUCAACCCUUAAGCCUAGCUUAGUAUUGGGAAUCUACUGUAUUGUAGUUCCUCAAAUCCAACGGCGGAUCUGUGGUAUCCUCUGAGCGUAGUAAAUCUUUAUCUCGCUUUUGUUAGGUGCUACAACUCCCAGCCGCUAAACCCCCCAAUUUUUAAUGGUUGACCUCGGAUCAGGUAGGAAUACCCGCUGAACUUAAGCAUAU
rnacentral:misc_RNA from 1 species